CUAUCAGACUUGUCACAAGGUUGUUCUAACAAGGUUGAUACAGUCAUGAUAUAACAAGAAUGUUACAAGGUUGACGACACAAGGUUGUAACAAUAUUGUUAUAUCAUGACUGUAUUGGACUUGUUGGAACAACUUUGCAACAAGUCUGAUAA